rnacentral:rRNA from 1 species
GUGCCAGCAGCCGCGGUAAUACGUAGGGAGCAAGCGUUGUCCGGAUUUACUGGGCGUAAAGGGUGCGUAGGCGGCUAUGCAAGUCAGAUGUGAAAUCUAUGGGCUCAACCCAUAGCCUGCAAUUGAAACUGCGUAGCUUGAGUGAAGGAGAGGAAGGUGGAAUUCCCGGUGUAGCGGUGAAAUGCGUAGAGAUCGGGAGGAACACCAGUGGCGAAGGCGGCCUACUGGGUUUUAACUGACGCGGAGGCAUGAA